UACAGAGGGUGCGAGCGUUAAUCGGAAUUACUGGGCGUAAAGCGUGCGCAGGCGGUUUUGUAAGUCAGAUGUGAAAUCCCCGGGCUUAACCUGGGAACUGCGUUUGAAACUACAAGGCUAGAGUGUGGCAGAGGGGGGGUGGAAUUCCACGUGUAGCAGUGAAAUGCGUAGAGAUGUGGAGGAACACCGAUGGCGAAGGCAGCCCCCUGGGUUAACACUGACGCUCAGGCACGAAAGCGUGGGGAGCAGACAGG
rnacentral:rRNA from 1 species